CCUACGGGAGGCAGCAGUGAGGAAUAUUGGUCAAUGGACGAGAGUCUGAACCAGCCAAGUAGCGUGAAGGAUGACUGCCCUAUGGGUUGUAAACUUCUUUUAUCUGGGAAUAAAAUGUUCCACGUGUGGGAUUUUGUAUGUACCAUAUGAAUAAGGAUCGGCUAACUCCGUGCCAGCAGCCGCGGUAAUACGGAGGAUCCGAGCGUUAUCCGGAUUUAUUGGGUUUAAAGGGAGCGUAGGUGGAUUGUUAAGUCAGUUGUGAAAGUUUGUGGCUCAACCGUAAAAUUGCAGUUGAAACUGGCAGUCGUGAGUACAGUAGAGGUGGGCGGAAUUCGUGGUGUAGCGGUGAAAUGCUUAGAUAUCACGAAGAACUCCGAUUGCGAAGGCAGCUCACUGGACUGCAACUGACACUGAGGCUCGAAAGUGUGGGUAUCAAACAGGAUUAGAUACCCCAGUAGUC
rnacentral:rRNA from 1 species